rfam:Ictidomys tridecemlineatus contig012821, whole genome shotgun sequence.
GUGCAUAUGGCUCAGCAGGAAAGUGCAUGCCUGGCAUGUAUGUGGCCCUGGGAUCAAUCCCCAGUACCACG